GAUACGCCUCCAAAAAUCUACAGUUGGCAGUGGAGAACUUCUUCCUCUUGUUCCCUAGCUUCUUGCCCAACUGAUACAUGCAUUUACAAUAUAUUUAGUUUUGUAUCGAGGGCUAUAAUCUACGUGCCAAUUAUAAUAUAGGGAACUUUAAUUGAUUCAACUCCCCCGUUCCCUAAAUCUUUUCUUUUCUUUCUUCUUUUUCUUUUUAAUUAAUUAACUUAUCAUUUAUGUGUAUUAGAGACUCCCUUGCACGAGUACAAGGUCUCCCUUAGCCUAAUCUAGGCUUAAUACCCUAUUAUAGCAUGAAAUCCCCUAUUUUCCCACUCGGAUGAACAGUAACCCGGACCGACAGCCGGUUACUUCAUCCUGGGUUUGAUCCACUUUCCAAACUCCAAAUUUGAUGAAAUUUUUACCUAACAUUCUACACUCAUAGGGAAUUCCAAAGAGAUAACAUGCAUCAUCAUCGGAGGCCGUUUGACCCCCUAAAUAAUUCGCCGAAGUUGGGACUUCGGCACAGUUUUUCCGUAGUGCCGGAAAAAUUUGUCAAAAUCCGAUUCUUCCUCUUUUAACCGCCUCUACAACCCUUAUCCGACCCCUCUAGACUAUAUCCACCC
rnacentral:lncRNA from 1 species